AGAGUUUGAUUCUGGCUCAGGAUGAACGCUGGCGGCGUGCUUAACACAUGCAGGUCGAACGAAGUGAUAGGAGCUUGCUCCUAGAACUUAGUGGCGGACGGGUGAGUAACGCGUGGGUAACCUGCCCUAUGCAGGGGGAUAACGUUUGGAAACGAGCGCUAAUACCGCAUAAACUAUGGAUAAUCGCAUGAUUAUUAUAGUAAAGAUUUUAUCGGCAUAGGAUGGACCCGCGUUGGAUUAGCUAGUUGGUGAGAUAACAGCCCACCAAGGCGACGAUCCAUAGCCGGCCUGAGAGGGUGAACGGCCACAUUGGGACUGAGACACGGCCCAAACUCCUACGGGAGGCAGCAGUGGGGAAUAUUGCACAAUGGGCGCAAGCCUGAUGCAGCGACGCCGCGUGAAGGAAGAAGGUCUUCGGAUUGUAAACUUCUAUCAGCAGGGAAGAAAAAUGACGGUACCUGACUAAGAAGCUCCGGCUAACUACGUGCCAGCAGCUGC
rnacentral:rRNA from 1 species